rnacentral:rRNA from 1 species
UACGAGGGGGGGCGAGCGUUGUUCGGAAUUAUUGGGCGUAAAGGGUGCGUAGGCGGUUUGGUAAGUCUCGUGUGAAAUCUCCGGGCUCAACUCGGAGCCUGCACGAGAAACUGCCGGGCUUGAGUGUGGGAGAGGUGAGUGGAAUUCCUGGUGUAGCGGUGAAAUGCGUAGAUAUCAGGAGGAACACCUGUGGCGAAAGCGGCUCACUGGACCAUAACUGACGCUGAUGCACGAAAGCUAGGGGGAGCAAACAGG